CUGCGGACACCCGGGUGACACAUUCUUUCGGAGAGGGAGGGCAAGACUUUUCUCCGGAGCCUCUGGCAACUCGUGGAGUCUAUAUAAGAUCUUCAAAGAAAGAGAUAUCCUUUCGAGGCAACACAAGAAGCCAACUACAAAUGAGAAUAUUAUUCUCUUGGUGCAGGGAUUGUUGCAUGUGGACCCCAUCAGCCUUGAAAAGUCCAUGCAAUGGAGUGAAACUUGACAAAGCAGUUGCAGUCGUUCACCAGUGAAGCAAAGUCUUCUUCCUAGUCACGCAGGUUAUAUUAUGCCCUUCAUGAUUUUAAUUUCUCUAUGAAGCAUCAGUUCCUGAAGGAAAACACACAACCCCAAGCAGAAGAAGAGUUUCUUCUUUAUAUCCCAAAAUACCCUGUGCAAAUCUCUACCGUGGCUCUUGAAACUACAUAUAGCAGUGGGCUCAACUUUUUCGUUUUUGAGCAUAGAAUUCUCAGCAGAACAUUUGAAGGCAUUAACUCAUAUUUAUCGAUGUCACUUUGUUCACUGGGUAGACCUUUAGCCUUGUGUUUCUGUUUGAGAGGGGACACUUCACACCCUGAUUUAUACAUUCAGGAGGCAUACAUCUGAAGCUUUUCAAUAAAUGCACACUUUCUCAACAGCUCUGCCUCAACGUUGCUUCUUU
rnacentral:lncRNA from 1 species